UAAUACGAAGGGGGCUAGCGUUGUUCGGAAUUACUGGGCGUAAAGCGCGCGCAGGUGGUCUUUCAAGUCAGUGGUGAAAGCCCGGAGCUCAACUCCGGAAAUGCCAUUGAAACUGUGAGACUUGAGGACGAGAGAGGUGAGUGGAAUUCCCAGUGUAGAGGUGAAAUUCGUAGAUAUUGGGAAGAACACCGGUGGCG
rnacentral:rRNA from 1 species